GUUUUAUUCGGCGAAGCCUGACGGAGCACGCCGCGUGAGUGAUGAAGGUCUUCGGAUCGUAAAACUCUGUUAUUAGGGAAGAACAUAUGUGUAAGUAACUGUGCACAUCUUGACGGUACCUAAUCAGAAAGCCACGGCUAACUACGUGCCAGCAGCCGCGGUAAUACGUAGGUGGCAAGCGUUAUCCGGAAUUAUUGGGCGUAAAGCGCGCGUAGGCGGUUUUUUAAGUCUGAUGUGAAAGCCCACGGCUCAACCGUGGAGGGUCAUUGGAAACUGGAAAACUUGAGUGCAGAAGAGGAAAGUGGAAUUCCAUGUGUAGCGGUGAAAUGCGCAGAGAUAUGGAGGAACACCAGUGGCGAAGGCGACUUUCUGGUCUGUAACUGACGCUGAUGUGCGAAAGCGUGGGGAUCAAACAGGAUUAGAUACCCUGGUAGUCCACGCCGUAAACGAUGAGUGCUAAGUGUUAGGGGGUUUCCGCCCCUUAGUGCUGCAGCUAACGCAUUAAGCACUCCGCCUGGGGAGUACGACCGCAAGGUUGAAACUCAAAGGAAUUUGACGGA
rnacentral:rRNA from 1 species